CCCGCGGAGACCGCCGGGCGGCCGCGGUGCCCCCGCGCUCCCCUCGGGCGGACGCGCUCCCGGUAGCGGUUCCCCGGUGGAGGUUCGGGGCCGGGGAGGAGCGUUUGGGCUUCUGUUGUGGCGCCCUUUCUCUGCGUGGCCGUAAGUGCUUCCAGAUGGGGAUUCGGCCACCAGACGUAACAAUAUUUCCAUAUUUGGUAUAGCAGUAGCCCGCAUUUUUCACAUUUUUCUGCUCUGUUAUCCAACCGCAACGCAUUCUUGACAGCUUCAGAUGCUGUUAAAUAUAGCCCUCGCUGCCGUUCCCAGGGCAGGAAAUUCUCUGGAAUUCCUGCUUUUCACGCAAUCUGUCCAUCAUGAUUUAGGAGCGCAGCGCCGGAGCAGCCAACCGGCGUUACCCCGCCGCGGGUACUGCGAAAAGCGGAGCUCCGUCCGCGCUCCAGCGGCGUGACCGCGAGUCCCCGUCGCGGGGAUUCCUUACGAGCGAGAGCCGUCCCUGACACCGGUUUGGGGUGGGCGACGGGGGAGGUUUUUUUCUUCUUUUUCGGUUGCCUUCGAGGAUGGAGGUGGAGGCGCGCAGGAGAGCCCCGCGCGGCGGAGGGGUGGGGAGGGCGGACUGCGGGCACUGCGGCUCCGCCGGCGGCGCGGCCCCGCGGGACGGACGCGGCUCCGGGCUGCCGUGCGCUGGGGGACGGCGUCACGACGGCGGACGGCACGCGCGCGGCUUGGUGGAACACCCCGCGGGUGCUUUUUGUUCGAGGUGACUCUACAGGGCAGCUUUGUGAUCAGAUGGAACAGCGUUGUCGUUCAGUGCGUUUUGGUUAAUGAAAACUUGGAAAAGGUUGAAGCGAGAAGAGCUGCUGCAUCAGAGCGUGGUUAAAUUGGACCGUUUUGCUUUUCAGGGAUUUAUGCAAACACUUGUCUAUUUAAUGACAUCUUAUUUAAGGACGUGCAUCAAGCAUUCUGCUUUGAUCUGUGGCUUUCACAACAUUCAGCAAAUGCCACAGGGAAGCCAAUGAAUGGCGCUUUUCUCAGUUGGUUUCGUGUCUUACCACACAUCCACACAGCUCUGAUGGGAAACUGUAAACGAACCUGCAUUUGCUCAAAAAAAAAAGGUCACUUGGAAAGCUUUGAAGCGCCUUUUGACAAACCUGUCCUGAAUCUCAAGCAGCUGACAACGUUUGAGAUGGGCUGAGAGUCUCUGCGUUCGGGUUGGACCGUGAACCUUUCAUACACUUCCAUUGCACGCAGUUCCCCGUCACAAACUGUGACCUGGAGUUUACAUCCCAGGCUGUGACUGUGUCUGCAGGUGUACAUCAGGACACAGGAAAAGGCUGGGAGCAUCGUUUAUGGGUUUUGUUCAGCGUAACAUCAAGUUUCAGGCCUCUGCUGUCCUAAGGGAACUGGGAAAUAUUCCCAGCUUUAUGUAAUGAAGAGCAUCUUACUGUCUCCCAGCUUGUGUGCCGUAGGUUGGUAAGGUGAGGUCGGCUGGGAGCUUGGUUAAGCAGGAGUUUGGAACAGUUGGUUAAUGCGCCAGAUCGUGCAGAUUUACCAGGUGUAUAUACUGUCAUUUCCACAGGCCUUUAUUUCUCCACGGAAAGAAGUUUCAGGAGAAACGAAUCAAGAAGAAACCCAGAUGAAAAACAUAGUUUAUCACCCAAGGUCAUCAUUCCACAGCCGUGUGCGGGGACACUGGAGCAGUGCGGGCGCUGCAUGGGACAGACAGCCCUCCAAAGCACUGGUGUGCCCGGAGGUAGAGAACAUCAGGACUUUACAGUCACAUGAAUUCUGGGAAGGUUCUUAGCAAAACCAGCACCCAGCCCUUGCUUUCCUACUGUCUCUUAUGUCCUCUUAUCCAUUCUCUCUUUCCUUUGCCCGUCCUUUACUGAGCAUUUCUUCCAUCUCUCAUUCUCUUUCUUCUCCUUUUCCCUGUUCCAGGCUUUUUCCCAACAACCUUUCCUCUCCUAAUGUUUACCUACCUUCGCUUGGGCCUCUCCUGCAGCUCCUGCCAGGCCGCCGGUUCCUGCUGCACUAAAUCAGUUCUUCCAGAGUCAAUGGCUCCUCUCAGUGACUCACAGGAGGUGCAAAUCCAGCGGGGCAAAUUAAGCAUAGCGACAUAGCAGCAGAAUAGCCAGAAGGCUUCAGCAGCUCAAAUCCAAGUGGGAUCAGGCUUUUUUUUUUUCCCCCUCGCUUUGAUUUGCUCAGUUUAUGCUGAAUACUUUGAGUAUGCUAUUUCCUAUUUGUUUUCUUCCUUUUCCCCACUGCCCUCCCUUUAGCUGUGCUCACGCCUGUCAGUUUUUGUCUAGUAUGUGCUUUGCCCGUGGUUUCUCUUAUUUGUGGGUUUGUGCUUCACAGCAUCUGUGUACCGAGAGACACUUUGCUCUGUAGGCACACUGAUUUUACCUGUGGCUGCUGUCAGGGAGUUGUGAGGGUUCCUCUUCUGUGACUGUGGAAAGGGAACUUGUGAGGCUGCUGACCCUGCAGGGAACCCAGACAAGUAAAAUCUGCAAUAUUAUUCAGUUGUUCUCAUUGCUUCUUCAAGAACCAUCCCUGCAGAUGGUCACUGGCAGUAUGUGCCUCGUGGCUUCUCACCCAGGGCUGGAUGCAGAAAGGAAAGUAGUUAACAUCUUCUAUUUAGCUCCUCCAGCUUGUUCACAGAGCCCAACACUCUUUCUUGCUGCCGCUCAGGGAGAUGGCAUUCAAUUUACUUUAAUGCUACAGUAGCGGCUCCUGUAGCACUGGGAAGGCAUUCAGUUUUCCUCAGCAAGGCAGGUGGAUUACUAAGGUACCUUAACCUGCUCUCACGUGCAUGUCCUUUGACACCAGGAUAUGCUCAGAAGACAGUAUUUGCAGCGGGCACUUCCCUGUAGCUGAAGUUUUCAAUGAAAAGACUGCUGCAGGCUUUGGCCCGAGCUCUCUUUGCCGUGUAAAUAAGUAAUGAAAGUCAGGUGGUCCUGGCCAGCACCUGCAUGCACACGGACCUCCAAAUCAUGUCUGUCUUCUUUAUGCGGUGAUUCUACUUGAAAUAUAAGUUGAAAUCUCUCUUCACGUGCCUUACUAAAAUUCUUUUCGCAGCUGUGUGUUGUAUUGCAGAAGGAAGCUGAGGCAUCAGGACUGCACACAGCUUCUUUCCCAGCACCAGCUAAGGAGAAAGUCUUGGACGUGGAUCCCAUAUGACCUCAGGAGAAACUUUUCCAUAGCUUCCAGCUUUGGCCCUCAGUGUGCAGGAUUUCCCUGUGGAGCAGUACUGCUUGUAAACUGACAUCUUUAUUAAGAUGAAAUGAGCAAGCUCAAAGGAAAAUUGGUCGUGAUCACAAAGGAUUGCUGGAGCAGGGUUAGCCUGAUUGCAAUCAAUAGAACAGUGCCUGAGCAAUUUUUGAUCAAAGAACACCUGUGGGCUGUGGUCCGUAAUGGUCUUCAGCUGUUGCCUGCCUCAGUCCACCUCAUAGCUACACCUUAGAGACAACUGCCUUCUGCCUCUAUCUGUGUUGUGGAGCUCUGCAGCCCAGAAUGUCUGCUCUUCAGCACGUUCAGGUUUGUUUUUACAUUUCUACAUUUAAAAUGUGGCAAAUUACUCUUUCCCAAUGAGUAUUGUGUUUCAUUAUAGCUAUCAUCGAAACUCCAUUCCCUUAAGGUCAGGUGAUAUCAAUACUAGCAGAACCCUCUGCCUUCGUUCUGGUGCUUUCACUUCCUCUUCUCUGCUAAUGACCUAGGGACAUGUUUUGUUGUCACUGACAGGUGGGCAUUCAGGGGGCUCACCUGGAUUUUGCUUUUAAGAACAGAGUUUUGCAGGCAUGCUUGCUUGUUUGUUUGUUUAAAAUGCAGUUCUUUCUUCUUUGAGUACAAAUAGAAGGAAGGGCCUGAGCUUUCAAGAUACCAAAGACGUUUUGCCACGCAGUGAAUUCUGUUGAUUGUCAGGUUACCUGCUGAAAACGUCAUGGCAUCAAUCUCAGAACAGUGCAGAAUGCCCUGAGGUGCCUGUUGGCUUUGUCUGCUGUUGUUACUCAUCCUCUGCUACACACACAAGCUUAUUAAAACACAGUGAGACUGUGAUUGUGUUUGCUGUCUUCUUGUUUAUUUCCCUUCCCUUCUAUCUGGGCUCUUACCCUUCACCUACCAGCUUUCAGUGGCAGCUAGUUAUGUUCUUUUCCUCUGUCGUGCGUGUUUAUUUUAUGACACGCAUGAGCUAACCGAUAGAAGGAAGCCAGGCCAGGACUGCCCUGCUGGAGAUCAGCUUUUUGCACAGUUCUCUGGCACGUGCCCCUCACUUCUGGUCAGCGAUAGCGUACUGAAAAAGUCAAUAGCAGACAAAUAAGCAGACACGAUGUCAUCCUUGCAGAUAGGGAGGACUUAGAGGCAGCCAGCAGAUCCUGUAUGUGUUUUGAGAAUGUUUCUGGAGACAGAGCUACGAUCCAAGAAUGUGCAAAUAGCUGCCCAUCCCAGUCUUACGUGCCUGCAAUUAAGGAGAAGUGCAAAACCAUCUCCAGCCUUGAGCAGCAUACCAAAUCUUAAAGGUGCGCCUUGCUCUAUUGAACCGGUUGGGGAAUUUUUCUUGAGGAGUGAAGAACGAACUACUUGAUUGGAAUCUCCUCCUCAGUUUAUCUCUGCCAGAGACUAAAAUAGAGCUGGUGGGUGAGACCUGGUAGGCUGUCCGGUGAAAGGUUGCGUGCAUUACUCCAGGUCCUUGUGGAGAUUCAGGACAGAGGAGCCCAUCAGUGCAUGCGGACCCACUGGGAGGGCAGAUCUCUUUGAGUCAGCCAGGAAGCACGUCGAGGUCUGCUGCCCGCUGUUUUCCCACAGACCAGUGUCCUCAGGAAGCACAAGGUUAGCAGGGCUAUCAGCACACUACUUUGGUGUGGAGACUUUUUUUACGAUUGUUAACAUUUCGUUUCCUGUUGUUGUACAGAAAUUAUGACUCUGAGUGUCAAUGUUGAGAUGAAAGCAGAAACCCUUUUGCAUGGGGCAAACACUAAAAGCUAGCUGUUAUGUUAUUCAUUUAAGAAUAUAUUUUUAAAAAAAUCGUGCUGACAGGCAGCUAUUUGCUUUGGGGGAUGUUUGUUCAUUGAUGUUUUUCAUAGAAUCAUAGAAUUGUUUGAGUUGGAAGGGACCCCUAAACAUCACCUUGCCCAGCUCGCCUGCAUUGUGCUGGGACGCCUACAGAUCAGUCAGGUGUUCAGAGCCCCACUCAGUCUUCCCUUGAAUGUCUCCAGGGAUGGGACAUCCACCUCCUCUCUGGGCAGCCUGUGCCAGUGCCUCACCACCAUUACUGAGAAGAAACUUUGUCCAAUCUAAAUCUCCCCUCUUUUCAUUUGAAACCAUUUCUCCUUGUUCUGUCACAACAGAUCCUGAUAAAGAAUCUGUGCCCUUCUUUCUUACAGUCCCCCUUUAGAUAGAGAAAGGCCUCUCUCGGGUCUCCCUGGAGCCUUCUCAGAGCUCACCAGCCCCAGCUCUCAGCCUGUCCUUUCAGGGAAGGUGUUCUAUCCCUUGGGUUGUUUCUGGGGCCCUCCUCUGUUCCCACUCUAACAGGUCUAUGUGUCUCCUGUACUCCUCUGCAUCAUUUAGUACUCAGCAGUCUACAUACUUAUCGCUGUCUUAUCUUGCUGUGUAACUGAGGUCUGAUUCUGAAAAUGCCCACAGACCCAAUUUUUAGUGAGAUUAUUUGGGGAAAAAUGGCAGACGACGCUGGUCUUUCAUGUGAGAAGUGUGUAAUAACUGAAUGAUGUUCAUCAACAGCUGCGAGAAGAGAGCCUCUGGUUGGAAGGAGUGGGCUUUCAGGAUGCACCCGUACCAUUUUUUUUCUUAACAGUGCCAUGUCAAAAUAAAAAUCAGUGAUUAAAAGCGUGCCUUACUUGUGCUGCUAAAAACACUUUUAGAUUGUACACACUGUAAACAGUAAAUAUUUAAUGUACACGUUUACUUUUCCUGGUUCAUGCCGAGCUCACAGGGCCUGACAGAGAAGCUAGACAGAUGUGUUUAUAGUGAGCUCCCCGGGCUGGCACAAUGCUGCAGUGUUUGGCUGCGAGCACCACAGGGAGAUGUUGUAAAAAAUAAAAAAUAAAAAAAUAAAAGCGUUCCAUUUACAUUGGGGGAAAAAAUCCUGAGAAUGUUUCUAUUAAUAUUAGCUGGUGUAAAACCCCAAAUUCUACAUUUCAGGCCUUGAAUAUUUCAAAAAUAGAGGAUGAGAUUGUGGUCGGUGAGGAUGUGGGGGUAAGAAGGUUUCCCUCGCUUACCUAGCUGGUGAGGGAGAUGGUCAGGAUGGAGUUCUGGCUGAAGGAGAACAGAGUUGGCAUUGAAAUGCUCCUGAUGGAGGGCUGCUGGGGGAUGAGGAAGAGGCGCUGUGGAGCGAUGCCCCUGUGCUGCUGGAGGCGGGUGUGCAUGCACUCGCACAGGAGAUGCCUUUGGUUUGCCACAGGGCAGGAGCUGUGACUCAGAACCUAACCCGAGAGUCAGAACGUUGCCAGGGGUUAUGCUCUCAAAGGAGAGAAGAACGGAUGCUGCAGGGGAAGCAAAAUGCAUCCAUUUGGUGGGAUGUGAGUUCCUAACACACGCACGAGUUGCUGGCCAGGACAGUAAGGAGAACAAUCCCAAUCCGAAAGGGUUUUGUAAAGCUUUUGUCUUGACUGGGGUCUUACCUGAGCAUGAGCUUCUGGUCUCAGUUAUGUUGACGUUAAAUCUGGUUUAUGUGAUCAAAGUUAGUGGCAUUAAUUAAUUGGCACAUGUUAAUUAAACAGCUGACGGGCAAGUUUCUGGAGAGCUCGGAAGAAAUGGAUGGCUGUGUUUCUCUGAAGUUAUCUUGGGCUACAAAGCCAGUUUGUUUUGAUAGCCUGGUCAAGCAGCUGGCCAGUUUUUAACUGUUGCCAAAGAAGAUUAAGGUGACUUUUAAAAGGGGUUGGGGUGCCUGGCUGGGGGCAGCUUGGUGCCUUCCCUCGCACCAGCUCUAACGAGGAGGUGAGGCUGAGCAAGCCCUUGUAAGAAGGAUAGGCAGCUUCGUGGUGGGCAGCAGGGGCAGGGAAUAGCCCAAGGCUGAGCAGAGCAAACCUGGCAAUUUGCUGCCACAUUUGAGCUUCAGAGCAGGAGAAGCAGCAACGGCAGGAGAGAGCAGGUGAUGCAUGGAGGGUGACACAGGUGGGGACUCCUGACUGUGAUAGCCUGAAGGAACUACAGCCAAGGAAGGAGCUGCUAGAUGCUUUUACAAUCCAGAACAGGAAAGAUCAGGGGUAGGAAGGCCCGGUGAAUGGCUAAUUGAAGUGGAUUGUGUUCAUCUGUGGCUGACCAGACCGUGCACCUGGAGAAGCCACAGACCAUGAUGGUGCACUGUGAGCAGGACAACGCUGGGUGCCAAGAGCAAGAAUCCUCUGCAGAGCCCUGGUGUUAUGGCUGCAGCACUGCGGGCUGCUGCACGUCCAGGAGAAGCGGUGGAAUAAUGCAGCUCUUUCUUUGCAGACUGAGUCUGAGGCCACAUUUCAGUAUGGUCCACUUGCACCUCUUUAUUGUGCGGUAGUUGUGAGCUCCAAUUCAAUAAAAACAGCAGUCCUAGACCCAUACUGAGAUCCAUUGAUUCCAGAGCAGCCCUGGCCUGAGGCACCCUGCUCCGCUGUGGCUGUUCCCCAGUGCCCCAUUCCAUUUUACAACCUCCCCUUUUGCUAUUAGCAUGGCACGCGGGUCUACAGGAAAACAAAGAAUCCGGAUCUGCAAGGGAUGGAGAACAGCACAUUAACCCCCUGUGCAACCCGGCAAGAACCUGUGACUCCAGAUUUGAUGGCAGGGUACCCGUGCCCGAGUACCACAAGUUUAGGAGCCUACGCAGCAGAUUAACAGUCAGCUCCUGGCAUAACAACAGUAGACUUAAAAAAUGAAUGGUCAGCCUCAGUCUGGAUGUCACCAUCAUUUUCAUGCUAAUGUGCUUUUUCCUCAGCCGGCCUCCUCUCUGAAUGUGGAGCACAGAAACAUCCAGG
ensembl:lncRNA